GUGCGAGUACGUUUCCCGCGCGCUGACAUCUCUAUUCCCACGCGGCUACCAGUCCUUCAGGGUUCUGUGUCUAUUCCUCACUUUUAGUAGUGCUCAUCGCCAUAACAAAGCAUGCCUUAAAACAUGAAAGCCAAGGAAUCCGAGGUUGGAGACGGAGAUGGCUGAAUUCUUAAAACAUGCUCGUCACGCCAGGGAGGCAGUCGCCAAAAGACUCAAGCUGCUGCCGGGGAAGAUGGGGAAGUGCAAGUAUAGAAUAUCAUGUUUCUCAGCUAUAUGUUAUACUUGAAUAAACGGUUCAAUU